rnacentral:lncRNA from 1 species
GACCGGCUCUACGCAGCACCCCCCACGUUCGCCAUGGGGAUCCUCCUGAGUAAAGCUGAGCCAGUCCUUCGAGGAAAGCAUUCUUUCCCCUUCCCUGCCAAGACUCUUUGAGACCCCCAAACCAAGCUGACGUGAGGGCGGAGGGACAGCACCAUCCCCCCUCGCAUGAUGAGGGAGGCGAAGCCUACAGAAGCUAAGGGCCUGUCCCGCGUCGCGCAGGUGGUCGCCGCAGAUCUGAGACUUGGGCUCCUUCCUUCCGCCGGGCACUGCCGAGGGCGUCAUUCUGUCGUUGGGCCAGUAGGUGGCGCUGGAGGCCAGGCCUAGGCAGGCGCCCGGCCAGCCUGGGGGCUCCGGGCACUGGGGAAACAGCAGACAAACCGUCUUCUCCAGCUAUGGAGCGCUUGCUGGGUGCCAGAGCUAUGCUGGGGCCCUUCACGCAUUAGCUUGUCUAACCCUCCCAUUAUCUUGUUUAUUAUCCUAUUUUACAGAUGAGGAAACUGAGGCUCAGAGAGUCUUUUAAAGUAACAUUCCUACAGCUGCCAGCUUUGUGUAUGGCGGGACCAUGGCCGCAGCCCAGUUCAGAGGGCCAAGGAGUGCUUUCACCACCAAGCCCAUCACUGCACAGGGUGGGGAAACAGGGCUUGAGAGCCACCCCCGGUCUUGCUGGGAGUGGGCUGGAGUGACACUCCUUGAACACCCCCCAUGUGCCCGUCAGAGAGCCUGGCGCCUCCCACUCCACCAGUUCCCCGUGACGGUGGAAUGAGGUUCGCUGCGUGCCACACUCUGGAAACUCUAAAGUGCCCUCUGGCCUCAGAGGUCCUUGUUAACCACGCAACCCUCACCCGCUUCAUUCAUAGCCUGACUGACAGAGGGGGCCUGAGAGUUCAGGGGCAACAGGGACACCUGGAGAACUUGUUACCAUGCAGAUGGUCGCGCCUAGCCCCACAGAUUCUGAUUCCGUUGGUUGGGGCCAGGCCAGGGACUAUGCAUUUCUGACAACGGCCCAGGCUGGCUGCUGGGAGGUUAGAAGGUGGCACUUUAAGAUGCACUGUGAUAGAGGGACUAACAACGUCAGGAGGAAGGCACAGAGACCCUCUGGUGGCCUAAGUCUCAGCUAAUGAAAGUUAAGACUUUCUUCUCAGAAAAAUGCUCUAACCCACCUCCUCCAAGAUUUUGCACAGUUUCAGGCGGUUCCUGGAUCCUUGAAGGCCAACCGGGGAUCCCUGACCCCAACGUAAGAGCCGUCCCCUGGUCUAACUGCCAGGCCACCUCUGCCGUGAAGCCUCCCCAGACCUCUUGACAAAGUCGCCUCUCUGUGCUCCCACAGUGCCUAGUGAGGACUUUACUGCACCAGGGUGACUGUUCACAUAUUCGCCUCCCCUCCUGGACUGCAGGACUCGUGGCAGUCACCUUCCUCCUCCUUCCCGGCACGUGGUACGAUCCUACCUCCCUCUGAGAUUGGGUAUAACAUGCGAUUUACCAUAGCUGACGAAUGCUGGCCGUACAAACUUUACGAAUCUGUGUGGUUCACCGUAUUCUCUUCACCAGUGAUCUGGGAAAUGCGUAUCAAGUGGAGGGGCCGCCAGCUGCUGUCCCUAAGGACUGGGUGAACAGAACUCCUGUCCGCCUGUGUUGGACACACAGCGUGAGUGGACCCUGAGCCUUUGUGGUGCUAAGUACUGGGCUGUUUGUUACUGCAGCAUAACCCGGCUUGUCCUGACUGCCCAGGUGCUUUGAAGGCAGAGCCCGUCGCCCACUGAACUUUGGGUCUCCACUUCCCAGCACAGGCUGGCACAGAGGAGGUGCUCAGAAAUCACACCAGCUACCAUUUAUGAAGACCUGGCUGAGUGCCAGGUGCUGUUCCCUGUUAUGUCAUCUAGUGCUGUCCUCCCAGGUCAGCUGUGACGUGUGACAUGCUCCACACAGUCCCGGCACAGAGGAAGUGCUCGGUAACGGUAGCUGUUAUUUUUUAUUAUGAUGCUUCUCUGCCU